GGGGGAUGUUGGAGAUGUUCGCAUACACAAGGUACAUUGAUGCAUAUUUGGUGGAAUUGUGAAAAAAUUCAACAAGUAAAAUCAUUGACAGAAAGCGUAUUAUCUAAAUUAUUGUGGCGAAACAUUAAGUUGGAACCACAAACAUGGCUUUUUCACUUAGAUCUCCCCGCAAUAAGUAAACCAAAUAAAUAUUUAGUUAUAACAAUUUUGCUGGCAAUCAAAAUAUGUAUGGCAAGAGACUGGCUAAAAUCUGACUCACCUGCAUGGAUUAAACUUAUUAGUCAGAUCUCACUUCAGG